GAUGAAGAACGUAGUGAAAUGCGAUAAGUAAUGUGAAUUGCAGAAUUCAGUGAAUCAUCGAAUCUUUGAACGCACAUUGCGCCCGCCAGUAUUCUGGCGGGCAUGCCUGUUCGAGCGUCAUUACAACCCUCAGGCCCCCGGGCCUGGCGUUGGGGAUCGGCGGAAGCCCCCUGCGUGCACAACGCCGUCCCCCAAAUACAGUGGCGGUCCCGCCGCAGCUUCCAUUGCGUAGUAGCUAACACCUCGCAACUGGAGAGCGGCGCGGCCACGCCGUAAAACACCCAACUUCUGAAUGUUGACCUCGAAUCAGGUAGGAAUACCCGCUGAACUUAAGCAUAUCAAUAAGCGGAGGA
rnacentral:misc_RNA from 1 species